rnacentral:rRNA from 1 species
UACGUAGGGUGCGAGCGUUAAUCGGAAUUACUGGGCGUAAAGUGUGCGCAGGCGGCCGCGCAAGUCGAGUGUGAAAUCCCUCAGCUUAACUGGGGAACUGCGUCCGAUACUGGAUGGCUUGGAUUUGGGAGAGGGAUGCGGAAUUCCAGGUGUAGCGGUGAAAUGCGUAGAUAUCUGGAGGAACACCGGUGGCGAAGGCGGCAUCCUGGACCAAUAUUGACGCUGAGGAGCGAAAGCCAGGGGAGCAAACGGG